AGGAUUAACGCUGGCGGCGUGCAUGAAACAUGCAAGUCGAGCGCGGUGUGAUGCGGGGUAACCCAAUUCACAUCUAGCGGCGAACGGGUGAGUAACACGUGAGCAACCUACCUUUGAGUUGGGGAUAGCCCUGGGAAACCAGGAUUAAUACCCGAUGUGGUCACAACAGGACAUCCUGAUGUGAGUAAAGGCGUAAGCCGCUCAAUGACGGGCUCGCGGCCUAUUAGCUUGUUGGUGGGGUAACGGCCUACCAAGGCGAUGAUGGGUAGCUGGUCUGAGAGGACGAUCAGCCACACUGGGACUGAGACACGGCCCAGACUCCUACGGGAGGCAGCAGUGGGGAAUCUUGCGCAAUGGGCGGAAGCCUGACGCAGCGACGCCGCGUGGGGGAUGAAGGCCUUCGGGUUGUAAACCCUUUCAGCAGGGACGAAGCGAAAGUGACGGUACCUGCAGAAGAAGCGCCGGCUACUACGUGCCAGCAGCCG
rnacentral:rRNA from 1 species